GUUGGUUAUCAAAAGCAGGGCAAGUAAAGUGGAGGAGGGGUCCUGAAGAAAGGAAAACAAUUACAAAGAGUGCAUUGUGAUUGAGUCAUAUGGUGGGGAAAAGACAGGGUGCAUAGGUUUGCCUGAUAAUAUGGAGGGGGACAUCACAUAGGUUAGGAUAUUGGAACAUGAAGAAAAAUCCAAAUGAAACAGGUAUGUCCUACUGUUGGUUUUAUUUCUCCUUAUUAUUUUGAACUAAAUAUUUGGGUUUUUUGAAGAUUGUACAGGGGCAUGAAAUUCAUUUAUG
rnacentral:misc_RNA from 1 species